rnacentral:rRNA from 1 species
UACGUAGGGUGCAAGCGUUGUCCGGAAUUAUUGGGCGUAAAGAGCUUGUAGGCGGUUUGUCGCGUCUGCUGUGAAAUUUCGGGGCUCAACCCCGAACUUGCAGUGGGUACGGGCAGACUAGAGGUAGGUAGGGGAGAAUGGAAUUCCCGGUGUAGCGGUGAAAUGCGCAGAUAUCAGGAGGAACACCGGUGGCGAAGGCGGGUCUCUGGGCCGAUACUGACGCUGAGGAGCGAAAGCGUGGGGAGCGAACAGG